rnacentral:rRNA from 1 species
UUACCUACGGGAGGCAGCAGUGGGGAAUAUUGGACAAUGGGGGCAACCCUGAUCCAGCCAUGCCGCGUGAGUGAUGAAGGCCCUAGGGUUGUAAAGCUCUUUUGUGCGGGAAGAUAAUGACGGUACCGCAAGAAUAAGCCCCGGCUAACUUCGUGCCAGCAGCCGCGGUAAUACGAAGGGGGCUAGCGUUGCUCGGAAUCACUGGGCGUAAAGGGUGCGUAGGCGGGUUUUUAAGUCAGGGGUGAAAUCCUGGAGCUCAACUCCAGAACUGCCUUGGAUACUGAAGAUCUUGAGUCCGGGAGAGGUGAGUGGAACUGCGAGUGUAGAGGUGAAAUUCGUAGAUAUUCGCAAGAACACCAGUGGCGAAGGCGGCUCACUGGCCCGGUACUGACGCUGAGGCACGAAAGCGUGGGGAGCAAACAGGAUUAGAUACCCCAGUAGUC